UAAGGAAUAUUGGUCAAUGGACGGAAGUCUGAACCAGCCAUCCCGCGUGCAGGAUGAAAGUCCUAUGGAUUGUAAACUGCUUUUAGCAGAGGCGAAGACCUGACAUUUAUGUUGGAGUGACGGUAUCUGCAGAAUAAGCACCGGCUAACUCCGUGCCAGCAGCCGCGGUAAUACGGAGGGUGCAAGCGUUAUCCGGAAUCACUGGGUUUAAAGGGUGCGUAGGCGGGAUAUUAAGUCAGUGGUGAAAGCCUGUCGCUUAACGAUAGAACUGCCAUUGAUACUGAUAUUCUUGAAUUGGGUUGAGGUUAGCGGAAUGUGACAUGUAGCGGUGAAAUGCAUAGAUAUGUCAUGGAACACCAAUUGCGAAGGCAGCUAGCUGGGCCUUGAUUGACGCUGAGGC
rnacentral:rRNA from 1 species